rnacentral:lncRNA from 1 species
GACUACCAUUUUAAGUUUCUUUCUGGAAGGAAUUGGUUUGUUCACGUGUUUUUCUCGUCUUCUCAGCAAGUUGUACAUUUGAUGCCUGUUUUGAGACGCUAUAAGUUUGUCAUCUAUGGCGCUGGACAGUGUUUUAAAAAGCGCCCUAAGGCGCGCGCCUAGGCGCGCCUAGGCUCAAGGCGCCCACUUGGGGCUUAUUUGUGAGGAGGCGCAGCGAAUUAUAAAAAGCCCAUAUUAGGCGCGCGCCUCCCUUGAGGCGCGCCUAGGCGCAAGUCGAAUUAGGCGUGGGCUUUUUUUUAUAAGUUAUGGGCUGGGCUUUAAUUAUAAAAAACUAUUAUUAUUUAGGUUUUUUAAACCUAU